UACAGAGGUCUCAAGCGUUGUUCGGAUUCAUUGGGCGUAAAGGGUGCGUAGGUGGCGCGCUAAGUCAGGUGUGAAAUCUCCGGGCUUAACUCGGAACGGUCAGCUGAUACUGCUUUGCUAGAGUGCAGAAGGGGCAAUCGGAAUUCUUGGUGUAGCGGUGAAAUGCGUAGAUAUCAAGAGGAACACCUGAGGUGAAGACGGGUUGCUGGGCUGACACUGACGCUGAGUGCGCGAAAGCUAGGGUAGCAAACGGG
rnacentral:rRNA from 1 species